rnacentral:lncRNA from 1 species
ACCUUCAGGGAAGCCAGGUAGCUGAGGAACCCCAGAGACACACAUGAAACGAGGUGACGGCCAUAUCACACCACCAUCAGUAAACCCGGCAAGGCCCAGGCUGAGCACCAGCACGCACACAAGGCCGUUGUUGAUCUUUCCAGAAUCUCUUGCAGGACCAUGCUCCCUUCUUAGGUCACUGCAGUGGUGUAGCUGCAUGGAGGAGAAGCCAAUGUCCCCCUGGUUCAAGACAGGGACACAGAACCCAUUAAGAGCUCUCUGCAGGGUCUUGAAAGGACCUCCCUUUCCUUGUGUCCCAUUGUUGGACCCUGGCCUUCCUCUACCAGGAGUCAUAUGGAUACAACUAGGGGUGAUCUCAAAAUAACGCUGUGGGGCUGGGAAGAUGGCUCAGUGAGCUAAGGCACCUGCUACUAAUCUUGACAACCUGAGUUCCGUCCCUGGGACCUACGUGGUAGGAGAGAACCAGUUCCUGCAAGUGUCCUUUUGUUACCAAACUUGGGGUCACUAUUUAUACUAUACGAAAUCAAAGUUCAGCCACCUGUCCCCAAGAAGCCACCUGUGCACUUUAGCAUGCAUGUGCUCUAUCCCUCAAUAAAAUGCAUUUUAAAACCUUG